CAACAUACAAAUCGAAAAUGGAAAUAUAAUUAACUAGACAAAGUCCAAAAUGGAGAGUGCCUGAAGCAUCUAGAACGGCAUCACUCCAUGAACUCCGGUCAUCUUCACGAUGAUGGCGACGAACUUGAGGUGAUUGCAAGGACCAAGAGCCACGAUGGAGAAUUUACAACUCAAAUCAAUCACUUCUGGAGUAUCUAUAUACAAUGUAUAUCAUUCUUUCAAGGCCAGAGUUCCAAAACAAGUAAAAUGGUGUUACUCCAGCUGAAGUUGAAAUCAAGCCAGCAUAGAUGUCUUUUGUAGUACUUAUUGGCAGGAAGUUUCUGCAUGAGAUGUACUAGGCUUGAUUCUCCUUUUGCAGUCUGAAAAAUAUGGAGCUGAAGAUGGCUGGAAAGAAUUUUUCUCAUUCUAUGUUGAAACAAUAGAGAAUGUUGUUAAGUCAUGGCAUGAAACUUCAAAAGUGGAUCCUAGACUUUAUUUCCUUCUGAACAAGAAGAAGACGGACACUGAAGUGAAGUUGGAUAUAUAGCGUAUGCUAUCUAAUUGUGUACUUCUAUUCAUGUGCUAGGCUUUUGAGUCACCCCAUACACACAUAGAUUGUUUUGCAUUCCUUCAACAUUAUGCUGAAGAUUUUUUCGCUCAAGCUGCAUGUUUAGUGACACAAAAAAAUAUCACAUCUUAUC